AAAAAAUACGAACAAAAUCCAAUUCACCAUAAGAAGCCGUCGACGUGACGCUGGUUCAGUUUCUUGAUGACCAUUUCUGUGUUGCACUCUUUGCAACGUGCCGGUUUUUCCAAUAAGGAAUGGUUUUGCAGCCAUUUAAUUAGUGUUUCAGUUGGCCCGAACGCAAAUCUAGGGAUUGUCUUUAAGUCCAUCCCAAAUAUGGAUCUAUACAACAAAUCAAAGGAACGAUCUGCUACACCGUUCUCAAGCAGAGGUCUCGCAUGACUUCCGAUCUAUCACUUAAUGAUUGGCCAAUUUUGUACCACGUGAUCUCGAAUCCCGCGUGCCUGUUACUCCUUUUACACGAAGUAGUGUGGAAGAUUCGACUCUGCGAGCAACAUGGGAGCAACAUGGCAAGAAAGAAAGGGAAGUUCCGCGUUUUUUUAUACGAGGAUGACUCUUCUGAUGUUGAUACAGCAAUGGUUAAUAUAGAGAAAGUGCACAAAGACGUUUGUAAUACUGAGUGGCCCUAAUCGGCCAAUGCGCGUGCGCACAGAGUGGCGGAGGUAACUUUCUGCAGGUCUUGGAAAGCAGUUCAAGUCUUUGGAGUAUUGUGCUCAAAUCUACCUGCACUUUCGGCUGGACACGCAGCCAGCCUUAGACGGUUCAGGAGCCAAGACAGAGGGCUCAAGAUAUAGAAGAUGGUGCAGGAAGAGACUGGAGCGGGGAGAGUCACAUCUUGAGGACUUUUCAAACUGGCUACAGGAGGAGGUGAAGAUAAAAGAGUUGACCUUCAGGAGCAAAGGCAUCGGUUGCAGUGUCAUCAAACACAAAGCAAUGAAAUAGGCGUUACUCGCCUUGGUAAAGGAAGGCUGAGGAGAGUGCAUACAACACAGGGAGACCACC